UACGUAGGGUGCAAGCGUUGUCCGGAAUUAUUGGGCGUAAAGAGCUCGUAGGCGGUCUGUCGCGUCUGCUGUGAAAACUCAGGGCUUAACCCUGAGCUUGCAGUGGGUACGGGCAGACUAGAGUGCGGUAGGGGAGAGUGGAAUUCCUGGUGUAGCGGUGAAAUGCGCAGAUAUCAGGAAGAACACCCGUGGCGAAAGCGGCUCUCUGGAACGGUACUGACGCUGAGGCACGAAAGCGUGGGGAGCAAACAGG
rnacentral:rRNA from 1 species